CUCGGUAGCUUAGUUGGAAAAGCGCUCGUCUAGCAUACAAGUCCGGAGUCCUGGGUUCAAAUCCAGCCGAG
rnacentral:tRNA from 1 species